rnacentral:lncRNA from 1 species
CAACUGGACUUGGAGAGAAAUAAAUGGAGUACAUUAACAUUGAAGUUUUUUUUUUUUUUUUUUGAAGCCCAGCCUGCAUCAGGCUUUGACAAACUUAGCAUUGGGGAAGAGGAAUUCUCUUACCUUGCAGGCUUGUUCAGAGAGACCUCUUUUCUGGCGGUGAGAAAAUAUCAUUUCUCAGGCCAAGAGGGACUUGGGAAAUCAUGCAGCCCCGAGAAACAAAGUGCAGUGCACUGACUUUAUUCUGCAUGUGGAACUGUAAUUGAUUCCUUUGGCCUAAGUUCUCAAGUUUCUUAGAGGAUUCAAAAAGUAGAGGAGGCUCGAGAGGUAGGAUGUGGGCCUUUUGCUAAUAAGGCAAACGAAAGUUAGAACAAUUAAUUAGAAAAAAUAUCAAAGGAAUGGCAUAUUAGAACAAGUUAUAACUUGUUAUACCCAAAUAUUCGCAGAUAUUUGUUACACAGAAACAGCUGUCGAAUGUCUUUUUUUUGGAUAUCCCCAGGCACAUCCAAGUAAAGUCCAGUGUGAAAUUCAACGUAUCUCUCAGUAACCCGCCAUUGACUAUUUCUUCUCCAUUCAUUUUUAAAAAUUAAAAAAAAUUUUUUGUUUUAUCUUCUCCAUUCUUUACGUCUACGUUUUCUACAUUGUCUUCCCAGGCACCUGAAACAGGAAGCUUACUGUCAUUCUGAGUAUGUCUUUCUGUUUUGUAUCUCAUCAUUCAUGGAUUCUAGCUGUGUUUAACCUCUAACGUAUCUCAAAUCCAUUGUGUCUCCUGCAUCCCAGGGCUGCUGCUGCUGCAGUGCAGUCCUCGUGAGAUUUUGGUCAGACCAUUGCAGUAAGCUCCUAAGGGAGUCCAUGUGUCCGCCUGCACACUCCUUUCUCUUUUCCAUUUUGCUUCCAGAUGGUUACGCUUUGUAAACAAUGGCCUUUGAGGCGCUUGACUAACAUUUCUUCCAGGAUGAAGCCCCAGAUCCUUAGCAGAGGACACAAGCCCUUCAGUGAGCAGAGUUUUACCUACUUCUAUCACUAGACUAAGAUUUUUCCAGAAGACUACCUUUAUUCAGUUUUUUUAAAAAGCCCCCCGGGACCUAGUCUGAUGCUUUAUGUAUUGGAAACCAUCAAAAGUUUAUUAAAUUGAAUUGAAUUAAUUUGUUAGUAUGGAAGAUAAUACUGGAAAAGCGGAAUUUUCAUAGUGUUCAGGUCCAUUGUGUAGUAACUGUCUUUGGUGCCAUUUCUAGCCUGUGAUGUAGUUUUGCUUACCCUGGAGAAAUUCUCCUCAUGCCUCCUCUCUCUCUUUUGGUGAAGAUUAUACCUGCUGCUACUUUAUUCCAGAAGCUGGAUAACCUUCUGCCUUGUUUUUGUGCUGAGUGACCCUUUUGACAGACCCUGUGGCUCUGACCCUUUACACAGUAGAAGUACCCUGGUGUUUUUACUCGGCAGUGGAUCGUGAUAUUUAGAAAUCCCUUCGUCGAGCACCUUUGAUUCUCCAGGGAUGCCCAUAAUAAAUAUUUGCAUUAUUAAAAGAGUUAUAAACACAGUAUAAAAAAUGAGUGCACAAGGCAGUCACCACUUAGCUUUUGAUGAUGUCUACCCGAAUGAAAAAUGAAUGAAUGUGUAAUUAAUAAUAAAUGUCCUUGUGUUCUUGUUUUAAUUUUAACUCAUCAGAGGAUGUAAAAAUUACAGCAGAGCCAACAUUUGCUUUAUUGUUUUAUUAAAGGCAGAAUGUGGCCCUCAUGUACCCGAUUCAUGCAACUUCAUAAAACAUAGCAUUCUAAUAGUAUCUGUAUUGCCACUGAUUAGCCGUUAAUUUUAUGCAUGUUACUUAUUCUCUAUUAGCUUUAGUUUCUGCAUUUAUGAUGAGGAUAAUAGUCAUGUGCCUAUCACAGAUCUCUUCAUGGUAUUAAAUGAAAUAGUUCACCUGAUAUGUAGUAACCACCAAAUAUAUAUUAGGAUGACAAUUUUAUUUGAGCCUCACUCACUGCGGGGUGAGCAGUCUGUUGUUUUUUUUUUUCCUGAUUUUAGAGAUGAAGCAGUGUUUUUCUUAAAAAUAAUCUGCAGAAGAGCACUAGGCUUCUCUAAAUCCUACUAUAAUAUUUUUUCUCAGUUGAGAAGAAUGUGUCAAGGAGAAUCUCUAUACGCUCCAGCCUUCAGACAAGGGGCAAGUAUUAUAUUUAUGGCUAAUGAUUGAUACAGGAGAGGGAUUUCACAAUUCCUGCCUCUCCGGCUUUUCUUUUAUCCCUUGGCUGUCAUGACUACAACUUUAUUUUUCAUCAGGAACAUUUUUUCAAAACCUGUCUGGACUUCCAUGUAUCAGCAGGUGGAUGACUGGCUCCAGCUGAGCCAUUGUUAGAACCUGCUGUCCUUCAGUCCACGAUGAUCCUUGGAAAUCUGAUUCCCAAGUUGUCGAGAUACAGAACUCUCUUUCCUUCUGUCAGGACCUUAUAGAGGAAUGAACGUUUUCCAUGGAACUAAGUCAGGUGGGAGAGAAGUCAUCUUUCAAUUGGAUAAAUAUUUAAGAUGGGUUAAUCUAAGUAAAUGUCCAGUGGGGUUCCCUGGAGAUGAGCUAUGAUGCUAUGAUGACAGGGGUACAAGUGCUUCCUGCUUAAAAUGUUGGCUGUCCUUAAAAGAACUUACCUCCCGAAUCAGAAGGAGCUGCCCUUAGAGGGCCAUUAAGACAAUCUCACUGCCCCUGAUGGCAUUUUCUUGUCUCCUCUGACCUUAGUUUCCAGGCCAUAGAUCACAGGGCAGGGAUGUGCAAUUUUUGAGGGCAAGGCAGGACGUUGUUCAUCGUUCUAUUUUUGAGCAUUUAGCGGUGCUGGAACCACAAGUGAUGUCUUGAUGCGUGGUGAGUGGAUGAACACUGGUCACCCUCUUGCUUCUUUAAAGAUAGUUUUACUUUACUCCACCUUUCCCUACAAUAUUUCACAGGGGAACGGGGUGCGGGGGGCGGUGAAGGAGGAAGGAAUCAGUGUGAGAAGGAUGCUGUCCUUACCUCUCAUGAAUCCUUGGCAUUUCUUAUUUCUAAAAGUGAAAAUGUCCUGUGCUGGAGGGAUUACUUACUUUAUUAAAGUGGGAACAAGGAAAAGUCCAUGUGUGGAAGGAAUGCAAGAUUCUAUUAGAAACGUUCUGGAUUUUUUUGUCUUCUCCUCCCACACUCCUUAAACAUCAGGACACAAGAGCAGAGAGAGUUCUACACAGGCUAGUGAUCAUGUUAUUUAUUUAUAUUAAAAAGUAAAUAGACUCUAAGCCAGUUUUCUGGUCAUGUUGUUGUUUGUUUAUUAUUUUUAAUGUAUUGUCUGUCAGCCAGUGUCCUAACAACUCUGCUGGAGACAGGUGCUAAUGUCAAGGUCCAUGGCAGGAAGAGGAUCUGGGGCUCGAGUCCCUCCUGAGGACAGUGCCUUCUCCUGCCCAGUUGCAAAGGAGGCGAAUCACCCAGAAGAGGAAGCUACCCCAGUUGUUUUUUCAAGAACACAAUUCCAGGAGGACUCCAUUAAAGUCUUUCUGUGCAUCGGAAAUCUCUUACCUUCUUCUAGAAGCUAUUUGGCCAUUUCAUAGAUGAAAAUUAAAAUAUUAUGGACAUUCUUUUAAAAGGGCCACAAGGCCACAAUCUUUAAGCAAGUAAAAUCCCAGCCUUAAGGUAGGGCGGCCAGAGUCUGAAAGGGAAAAAUGAAUUCAAUGCUUUGAACCCGGAACUGAAGAACUUGUAUCACCAAAGGUGCAGGGAUGAAGAAAGAGUGAAGGAAGAAGGAAGAAGGGAG